rnacentral:misc_RNA from 1 species
AAGUCGUAACAAGGUUUCCGUAGGUGAACCUGCGGAAGGAUCAUUAACAAAAAAAAAACCUCUUUUUAUUUUAUUUUAUUUAUUUUUAAUCAAACACUAUGUGAAUCUUUUUUGUAAUUUUUAUAUUACAAAAAAUAUUAAAUAAAACCAAAAAAAAAUUAAAAAAAAAUUAAAUGGAAAGAGAAAAAAAAGAAGACUUUAUUUGUUUUUUUUAUUAUUCUCCUUCUAAUAUUCGAAAUUUAAUCAAUGAAAAAAAUAACUCUUAACAAUGGAUAUCUCGGCUCUCGC